rnacentral:rRNA from 1 species
CCUACGGGAGGCAGCAGUAGGGAAUCUUCCACAAUGGGCGAAAGCCUGAUGGAGCAACGCCGCGUGGGUGAAGAAGGUCUUCGGAUCGUAAAACCCUGUUGUUAGAGAAGAAAGUGCGUGAGAGUAACUGUUCACGUUUCGACGGUAUCUAACCAGAAAGCCACGGCUAACUACGUGCCAGCAACCGCGGUAAUACGUAGGUGGCAAGCGUUAUCCGGAUUUAUUGGGCGUAAAGGGAACGCAGGCGGUCUUUUAAGUCUGAUGUGAAUGCCUUCGGCUUAACCGGAGUAGUGCAUUGGAAACUGGGAGACUGGAGUGCAGAAGAGGAGAGUGGAACUCCAUGUGUAGCGGUGAAAUGCGUAGAUAUAUGGAAGAACACCAGUGGCGAAAGCGGCUCUCUGGUCUGUAACUGACGCUGAGGUUCGAAAGCGUGGGUAGCAAACAGGAUUAGAUACCCCGGUAGUC